rnacentral:rRNA from 1 species
UGACCGCGUAUGAAGUACGUUUUCACCUCGGGUGACAGGGAGACAGGUGGUGCAUGGUUGUCGUCAGCUCGUGUCGUGAGAUGUUGGGUUAAGUCCCGCAACGAGCGCAACCCCUACGUUUAGUUGCUAACGCGUGAAGGCGAGCACUCUAGACGAACUGCCGUUGACAAAACGGAGGAAGGUGGGAUGACGUCAAAUCAUCAUGCCCCUUAUGUUCUGGGCUACACACGUGCUACAAUGGCCGGUACAGACGGACGCAAAGCCGCGAGGUGGAGCAAAUCCUAAAAAGCCGGUCUCAGUUCGGAUUGCAGGCUGCAAUUCGCCUGCAUGAAGUCGGAAUCGCUAGUAAUCGCAGGUCAGCAUACUGCGGUCGAAUACGUUCCCGGGCCUU